CUUUAGGCCCGCUUCGGGCUUAAGGCGGAAGGAG
rnacentral:ncRNA from 1 species